CUCAGGAUGAACGCUAGCGGCAGGCCUAAUACAUGCAAGUCGAGGGGUAGAGUUAGCUUGCUAACUUGAGACCGGCGCACGGGUGCGUAACGCGUAUGCAACCUACCUUUAUCUGGGGGAUAGCCCGAAGAAAUUCGGAUUAACACCGCAUAAAAUCACAGUACGGCAUGAUACAAUGAUCAAAUAUUUAUAGGAUAAAGAUGGGCAUGCGUGUCAUUAGUUAGUUGGCGGGGUAACGGCCCACCAAGACCACGAUGACUAGGGGAUCUGAGAGGAUGACCCCCCACACUGGUACUGAGACACGGACCAGACUCCUACGGGAGGCAGCAGUAAGGAAUAUUGGUCAAUGGAGGCAACUCUGAACCAGCCAUGCCGCGUGCAGGAAGACGGCCCUCUGGGUUGUAAACUGCUUUUAUUCGGGAAUAAACCUACUUACGUGAAGUAGCUGAAGACCAA
rnacentral:rRNA from 1 species